GUUGGUUUCCACAGAUAUUGUGCUGAGAAAAUUAACAAAAAUGUAAAGCACCGUAACUAACAUAUAGACUUCACUAGCUGUGUGACCUGGGGCAAGUCAUUGAGCCUCUCUGAGCCUUUGCCAAUGAAGAUACUAAUGGUACCUGCCUCAUAGGGUUGUUACAAGGCCUGAAUGAGUGAAUACAGACAAGUAAAAGGCUUCAAACAAGGCUGGUAGGCUUUAAGGACAACAUAUAUAGCAUUGGUUGUUCUAUUUUCAUAGUAAAUGUUCAAUAGCUCCCAGGGGUCCUGGUCACUCUGGACCCAGCUCCUUUUCUCUCUCGCUCUCUCAGUAGAAAAUCUCCCACCACCCCUCAACCCCCUGCCAGGUGAGGAGGACCAGAACCAAGAAACAGGACUGCCUGAGGCCUCAGACCUCCCCCUACUCAAAGUUCAAGGGACCCGGAGCCUGAGAGGCUGGGGCGGGAGGGAGUGAGGAGGCGGUGGCACUGGCAGCUAAAUUUGUUCAUCCGGCCUGUCAGUGCCUUAAUCUGAUCCCCGAGGAACAACGCAGAGGCUUCACUCUGGAUGACAAACGAGGAGGGGAGAGGCCUGCCCUGCCUGGACUCCGGGUGAGUAAUGGCUUUGCAUUAAGAUAUUAAGCCUGGACGACAAGAAAUGUGCUCCUGCUCCCACUCCGCCCCCAGCAAGGCCGGGAAGAGAGCUGGGGAGAGAAGGAGCCUUCCUGAAGACCAAGCUCUGGAAAGGCCCCAGCCAUGACCGUGUCAGCUAGACGACACCUGGAGCAAGUCCCCACAACCUGUUUUACUCCUGAGCGGGCUUUGUGCCUAGACCUGGGAAUCCUGACUCACUUUGCACCACCUUCUCCUGCAGCGCUGCCCUCUGGUCCUACUCAGCCUCAUCUGUGCGGGCUGGUCCUACACUUUGCUCACUCGGGAUUUUACACAUGGGGCCUGCGUCUCUCACGGAGGGCCACCAGGAGGCGCCACACGCCUGCUCGGCCUCCCCGUGGGCCCCCCAGUCCACCCGGCCGGUCGGUCUGGAGGCGGGGCGUCCUCGGGGUCCGGGUGUGCACGGUCUGCGGUUCAGCCCCGGCUCUAGCACGUGGCCCGCGGAGCCGCGCACCCUUUCUCUCUCUUGAACCCCCAUCGGGUGGCGGGCGUCUCAUCCAACCCUCUCUGCGCGAUCCUGCUCCCUCUGCGCCCGCGGGCAUCCGAGGUCCAGGCUUCUGUCACCCCCUAGCCCUACCCGCGAAGUCCUCUGUCAUCCUGCGAGCACAGGACCCAGAGUGCUGUGCUGUGGUCCCCGUUCCCCCAGCUCCUAUCCCUCUCUGAAGGUUGGAUGAAUAAACUGCUCUCAAAGCUGGUUUGUUUGGCCA
rnacentral:lncRNA from 1 species